CCUUAUACAUGCAAGUCGAGCGCAUCCUUCGGGAUGAGCGGCGGACGGGUGAGUAACGCGUGGGAAUGUGCCCUUCUCUACGGAAUAGCCACUGGAAACGGUGAGUAAUACCGUAUACGCCCUCAGGGGGAAAGAUUUAUCGGAGAAGGAUCAGCCCGCGUUAGAUUAGGUAGUUGGUGGGGUAACGGCCUACCAAGCCUACGAUCUAUAGCUGGUUUUAGAGGAUGAUCAGCCACACUGGGACUGAGACACGGCCCAGACUCCUACGGGAGGCAGCAGUAGGGAAUCUUGGACAAGUGGGGGCAACCCUGAUCCAGCCAUGCCGCGUGAGUGAAGAAGGCCUUAGGGUCGUAAAGCUCUUUCGCCUGUGAUGAUAAUGACAGUAGCAGGUAAAGAAACCCCGGCUAACUCCGUG
rnacentral:rRNA from 1 species